AUACGUAGGGGGCGAGCGUUGUCCGGAAUGAUUGGGCGUAAAGGGCGCGUAGGCGGCCUGUUAAGUCUGGAGUGAAAGUCCUGUUUUCAAGAUGGGAAUUGCUUUGGAUACUGAUGGGCUUGAGUGCAGGAGAGGUUAUCGGAAUUCCCGGUGUAGCGGUGAAAUGCGUAGAGAUCGGGAGGAACACCAGUGGCGAAGGCGGGUAACUGGACUGCAACUGACGCUGAGGCGCGAAAGUGUGGCGAGCAAACAGGAUUAGAUACCCUGGUAGUCCACACUGUAAACGAUGAAUGCUAGGUGUAAGAGGUAUCGACCCCUUUUGUGCCGGAGUUAACACAAUAAGCAUUCCGCCUGGGGAGUACGGCCGCAAGGUUGAAACUCAAAGGAAUUGACGGGG
rnacentral:rRNA from 1 species